rnacentral:snoRNA from 1 species
AUCCCAUGAUGAGGACAAUCUUCAAUUUAGUCUUGAAAUCUUUCCCAAGCUUCAAUGAAUGAUUCGUCAUGUUGCUGUUGGAAGCUUGAAAUUUUCCCAUGCAU